CAUCAUCACAUGAGUGUUUCUUUACUGAUGAGUGUGUGGUCUGAGUGAGCAGAGGUACAUACUGGGAUACAGAGCUGUCUGAAGUCUACAGGUCUGUAGACACGCCCCCUCAGGGGAAACCGAGUGUUUGAGAAACUGUCAUGACGUUGGUUACAUGGACUAGAAUGUUCUUCAAGAUGGAGACAGGGAUUCAGAAGGAGAAACACCAGGGGGAGAUGAGGGGGCUCCUCAUCUCAACGACUAAAACACAACUUCAGUCUGACACCGAGAACCAUGGAACACAUUCAGCAGUCUCCUCCAGGCAUCUUGACUCCUCAGGAACAGUUUCAUUUCCAAGAAGGUCUUAUUUGGGGCCAUUCCAAGAUGGAUCCUGAUCCUCAAGAGCCACCCCCCUCCACUGGGUGGUCUUCUGAACAGAUGACCUCCUUCCUCAGGCAGUCUAAAGCUGCACCGUUCUGCAUCUGUGAAGGCCCCUCAUUCAGGAAACCACCGGACUACAAACGCAUGACUUCAGAGACGUUGAAUCAACCUUGGACACAUUUUGGAUAUGCCAAGCAUGAUCCAUCACCAAUGAGGGACGCCACUGAAGAAUAUUGUACAUAAUUUAUGUCUCUGGAGACAAUGAUUGUUCUGUUCUGGGUGUCCUGGCAGGAGUACCGGGGUUGGAUGAUGGAAUGUUAUUUGGCAGGAUGUUUUUACCCUCCAUGAGUGUUGGGCCUUUUAUGGCUCAGUGGUGUGUUGGUUUGACAUGAGAUGGAUGACUUUUUAGCAUCGCUAGGGUUCUAUGUGUGUGUCCGUCCCCCCCCCCCCCCCCCUAACUCACACCCUGCAGGGGGUUCUACGUGUGUAUGGUUCCAUCUGGCAGGGGGUUCUACAUAUGUUUGGUGCCAUCUGGCAUGGGGUUCUACUUGUGUUUGGUUCUAGCUGGCAUGGGGUUCUACUUGUGUUUGGUUCCAUCUGGCAUGGGGUUCUACUUGUGUUUGGUUCUAUCUGGCAUGGGGUUCUACUUGUGUUUGGUUCUAUCUGGCAUGGGGUUCUACUUGUGUUUGGUUCUAUCUGGCAUGGGGUUCUACUUAUAUCUCUUGUAUUUCCACAACGAGACAGUGGGGGUUAUCUGAGCCAUGGUUGAGAAGGAAUUGGGGGAAAGGAAAUUUGGCUUUGACUCGCUGAAGUACAUGAACUGCGACAUGCCGCCGGUUGCCGCGAGGCACCGUCGCCCGGCAGCGGACAGCAGGCAGCGAGCGGUUCUACGUGCGUAUCCUGGGUUCUACGUGCGUGUGUCCUGCUUGCUUUGACAGUGAUAAUGUUCAUACGGGGGUCUGUGUGGUUGGCUUGGGGUAUUGGAAAGGUCAACUAAAUCAUACCUGAUGGACGGCCACAUGUUUACCUGAGGCCUCCAGUAGACAUGAAGAGCCCGGAGCAACACUACGAGGGAUAUCCAUCACACUGGGAAGGAAGGAGUGUCCAAAUCAAGUGUCAAAGGAUGCAAGCGGCGUGUUCAGAUCAGUCACUUCAAACUAGGACUACACCAAUGAGCAUCAAUGGAGGAUGGACACCAAAAGGAUCAAUGGAGGAUGGACACCUAAAAGCAUUCCACAAGGAGAGUCUGCAGUUGGAAAGGGACCUCAAUGGAUUUUCAAGAUGUCCUUCACACAUGUAGUGAGGCGGAUCUUCCUACCUGGCUGGAUUGAUGGAGAGCCCUGUGGAUCUUGUCUUGCUCUCAGUUGCACGUCUUCUCAGGCUGAACAGUAUUUGUUUCAUACAGCACUAGCUGAACGAUUGGUUCCCUUAAAUCAGAACCAAUCUGGGAACUCCAACUAGUGCGCUCUUCAAACUGAAGUUGUGGUCUUCAGUUGAGGAGGUAAGGAAACCUUCACUGGGGCUUCAAGGUGUAAAGUGGAGAAUGUUUCAAAGUGUUCCAUGGUACUCUGAUGAAGACUGUUGUUGUGUUCCACUGGCUGAGGGGAAGAACCCUCACAUCUUCCUCUUGGCCUUUCUCCUCUGAGAAUCCUGGCUCCAUCUUGAAGGAUAGUCCAGCUCAUGUAACUGAUGUCACGACAGAUUCUCAAACACUUGGUUUCUCCUGAGGUGCGUGUCUAUAGAACUGAAGACUUCAGACUGCACUGUAUCCCAGCAUGCAUCUCUGCUCACUCAGACCAAACCCUCAUAAGUAGGAUGCAACACUCUAGCGAUGGAGAUGUAGAGUUUUAUAAGUAAUGAGGGAGCAGAAAAAGGUGGUUAGAACACCAUGGCAUGUCAAGUCUAACUCUUUAAACCAUGAAGAUGGUUGGAUAGUUCAGGAAUUGGGCUUCAUUUUAUUAUGGGCAGUCCUUUAACUCAGAUGCCCACUUCUCACUGGAGCUGUACAUGUGUUGGCUGGCUGGCAUGAUUUGCUGUUGGUGAUGAGGCAGUCAGGGUGAAGUUGCAGGGUUAUGGUAAGCUCUCGGUGAGCUCAACGUUUAGAUAUGCUCUGUAUGGCUUGUACCCUGAAUAAUCUAGAUAAUUGUUCUGUUUAUUGUAUAAUGUAGACACGGUUUUGCAUUGGAUAAUUCCAUUGUUUUUAGGCAAGGAUUUGAGGUUUAAAUUCGUGGACGUGCAUGGUAGUUCGGUUCUUCAUACGCUUUUGAGUGGUAUAACUUGUACACACUGGGUGCAUAAUAAUGUAAAAGUACACUGAAUAGUAGUUAUGACCAACAGCAUCAAACGGAUCGCAUCAAGGUAAGUCUGUUGGCUGUGUUUUAAUGAAGACCAUCGCUGGACUUCAGGAUCAUCCUCCGUUCAGCUCAAGGUGAGGCGCUGGUUAUGUUUUUCUUUGGUUGGUUCCGGCUGGAAUGUUCGGAUUCCAGUCGGACUGUUUGUGCUUCCCGCCGUGGAAGGUUCUGAGUGUGGUCACUUGAUUUAGUCUCGAUGGUUAGAAAUCGUUGUAGUCUUGACAACCAUAAGAACCCACCCGGCAGUUAGUUGGACGCGAGUCCCCUGAGGGAAUCUGGCGGAACGUUCUGGAUUGUAUUUGCGUAACAUAGAGCCGUUGCCAACGGUAACUAUUUUCGGUUUCCAUUGGGAAUUGUUCCCCCUUAUCUUCAACAACUUUAAGUUUGGUAUUAAAUACAUACUGACACGUACAUCUUACAAUAUGUUGAUAAUAUCCGAUGGUUGCGCCGUACUUUUAACCACGUUGACGGGACUCUCGCUGCGUACAAAAGAGCGUUCUACUUGCGGGCCCAUUUCUGACAAUCAGUGAAGGCUGAAAAUAAUUUCAAGAAGGAAGACAAUUUGGCAUUUCUUCAAGGGAACCCAGCACCUGAAUAUGGCUGAGUAUAUUUGAUUUCAUAUCGAUAAUGCCAGUGUUCUUUGGUACUUCAGCUUUUGUACGUUAUAAAUAUCUGGUGGCAUUAAUUGCCACAGAAGUUAAACCCUACCAAAUUGAAUGACGUUAAACAACGACUUUGGUGCUGAGUUACCAACUGGAUAAUAUCAAAGCUAAAAUAAUGCCGUCUUUCCUACAUGUUACAGUAGAAGAAACUCGAGAACUGUACAAGGUUAAAAAGGUAACAUGUAGUUUGUCCCAAGGUGUCUGCCUCCUCACCCAGAGCCAGACCUCCACCUCCUCACCCAGAGCCAGACCUCCACCUCCUCACCCAGAGCCAGACCUCCACCUCCUCACCCAGAGCCAGACCUCCACCUCCUCACCCAGAGCCAGACCUCCACCUCCUGUCAGAAGUCCUCCAGAACAGGUCAGUGCUCUGUCUGAAAGGCGAGGCGGAGAGGCUGGUAACCGGAGGCUUGUGGUGCCAGGAUGGACCGGAGACUGAGGCUGGAGACAGGGGCCUGCAGCACCGGACCAGAGGACCAGGAAUCCAUGGCUGAUGGAGGAGCCGUGCUGAAGGCCCUGCCUGGUGGAGGAGCUGAUGGAGACCCUGCCUUGGGGAGGAGCUGAUGGAGGCCCUGCCUGCUGGAGGAGCUGAUGGAGGAGCUGUGCUGAAGGCCCUGCCUGGUGGAGGAGCUGAUGGAGGCCCUGCCUGGGGGAGGAUGCCUGUCAUGGGGUAGAUGGAGCCUGACUCUGAAACCAGGACUCUGUCUGAGCAGAGCUGAUGGUGGAGCUGAGACGCUGGAGGACGACUAGGAAUCGACCAACAAGGAUUCCUCAACGUGUUUCUGGAGCGGAGGCGAGCUGGUAGGGGAGCCGUGAAUCUGGAGGAUGACCAUCACUCUACCAACAAGGAUUACGUUGGGGCCAGACUUGCGCUGUUUGUUCCAGACCAGGCCUCUGAGGAGAGCUGAUGGAGGAGCCAAGACUCUGGAGGACGACAUCACUCUACCAACAAGGAUCCUUGUAAGUUUGCAUAAAACCAGGAAUCUGGAGGACUGACGGAGAAGCUGUACAUCUGGAAGGCAACUCCUGAGGACAACCAGGACUCUACCAUCAAGGAUUCCUCACACACCUGAGCUGAACCUCACCUGAUCCUGUUUUGUCGGGCGUAGACACACCUGAGCUGAACCCCACCUGAUCCUGACAGUCUGCAGGUUCCGUCUCCUCAGUUCAUCUGAGCCUCGUCCUCCAGAAGACCUGCUGAGCUCAGCGGUCUGAGGCUGAUGGAUCAAUGACCUCCAGUGGGAGUGAUCUUCUUGACCCCACAUGUACCCGUGUGCUUCCACACGCCUUUCCCUCACGUCCGUCACUAACCUCACUACUUCACUACUCCUUCCCCUUCUUCUUCCUUCUCCAUGGUUCAAACCUUUACUCUGAAGGAGUAUCUUCUUGAACCUUUACACUGAAGGAGUGUCUUCCUGCCCUCAGAGGGUUUAGCGUUGGGGUUGAGAGUCAGGGUUUAGAGUCAGGGACAGAGCUGGUCAGGGAGGACUGGUUUUAAACAAACCUCUUCACUUGCUUUCUGAAUAGCGACAUUUUGAAAUGUUUCAUUUGGGAAAAUGUUUUCCUCUGCUUU